GUCUGACAAUACAGCAAGCAAAGAAGCACAAUAAAUUAAAGGUUCUCUCUCUGUGUGUUCUAUUCAGUCAUUUGAGUUCUGUCUUUAAGCAGCACAAGGAGGCAUACGUGAAGAAUGAGAAUAGAAUUGGCAUGUCGAAAGCAUUCCUAUCCCUAAGAGUUCAGGAUCAAAAAGUGGAGACCAGGAUUUGGCCUUUGUGAUGUCAUAGAGACAGGCCCUUCUAAGGAAGGACAGGCAAGAAGGGUUAUGACCAACUGCUUCUGAGCCAGCUUGGUUGUGGAAAGAGGUUUGAAAGUUAGUUCAGGUAAAUGCCUUCAGAGUCUGAGUGAAACCCUGGCAACCAGAUAAUGUGACAACCCAGAGUUAGGGAACAUUUGUUUGCUCUGAAGGCAAUAAAAUGAAUGCAGAGGCUGCAAUGAUUGCUACUGGCAGCCCAUGUGAUACACAGGAAGUUUUUUUGAAGCUCUGUGCUGCUACCAGGACGUCUUGGAAGAGUCACCACCAAUCUAUAGGGAGCAUGCAAGCCGCUCUUCCUCCAUUGUCAGUUCCUUCUCUCUUUUCACAUGGAGAGUGAAUUUCCAAAGAGGAGUGCCUUAUUUAUGCACGGAGGUGCUCCAUGUGAAUCACAAUGUUGAUCCCUUGGCCUUCUGAAGCACACAGAGCCUCAUGGGUGGAGAGGAGGCUGUUGUCUCCAGAAUGUUACCUUCCACAUGUGCUGAAGGUGUUGUUAUGGGCAACAAAAUUGAUGGUGGACCUCUUUAUGUUGGGACUCUAUGGAACAGAGAGCACUAAAAUCCAGAGAAUGGUCCUCAGCUUCAGUAGGAUGGAAGGGGUGCAUCCUUUGCAGGAUAAAGUAUACAAUUAUAGGUUUGCAUAAUGCAAAACCUUUAACUCCUACAGUAAACUUCAAUAGUGCAGAUUUAUGAACCUGGACUAUUCACCCAAAGGUUGUGACCCAGAACAGUUUGAGGAUGAAGUGCAGGACAGAGCCUGCUUGCUCUGGCUUACUCUGAUGCCUUGCAGAAGCUGGAUUUGUUUCCAUUUAGUUCACGUAAUAUAAAUCUUCACAGUGAUUGUGCAGCAUCCCCCAACUCUGAAAAAUUAAAGAAGGAAGCCUCUGCUUGUUCGGACUCCAUGGGAAUAUUACAGCUCUGUGUAUUUCUAAAAGCAGUGCAAUGAAGAUUAAGGAUGAGAAAUGUCAUCUCUUUUGUUCCUGUAUUGUUCUUCUGCUUUACUUUGCUUUGCCCCACUUGUUCUACUCUCCUUAAAUUGUAGU
rnacentral:lncRNA from 1 species